rnacentral:rRNA from 1 species
AGGGAUCAUUACCGAGUUUACAACUCCCAAACCCCUGUGAACAUACCUAUACGUUGCCUCGGCGGAUCAGCCCGCGCCCCGUAAAAAGGGACGGCCCGCCCGAGGACCCCUAAACUCUGUUUUUAGUGGAACUUCUGAGUAAAACAAACAAAUAAAUCAAAACUUUCAACAACGGAUCUCUUGGUUCUGGCAUCGAUGAAGAACGCAGCAAAAUGCGAUAAGUAAUGUGAAUUGCAGAAUUCAGUGAAUCAUCGAAUCUUUGAACGCACAUUGCGCCCGCCAGUAUUCUGGCGGGCAUGCCUGUUCGAGCGUCAUUUCAACCCUCAAGCUCAGCUUGGUGUUGGGACUCGCGGUAACCCGCGUUCCCCAAAUCGAUUGGCGGUCACGUCGAGCUUCCAUAGCGUAGUAAUCAUACACCUCGUUACUGGUAAUCGUCGCGGCCACGCCGUAAAACCCCAACUUCUGAAUGUUGACCUCGGAUCAGGUAGGAAUACCCGCUGAACUUAAGCAUAUCAAUA